rnacentral:rRNA from 1 species
AGCGAACGCUGGCGGCAGGCCUAAUACAUGCAAGUCGAACGGACCCUUCGGGGUUAGUGGCGGACGGGUGAGUAACACGUGGGAACGUGCCCUUUGGUUCGGAAUAACUCAGGGAAACUUGAAUUAAUACCGAAUGUGCCCUUCGGGGAAGAUUAUCGCCAUUGGAGCGGCCCGCGUCUGAGUUAGCUAGUUGGUGGGGUAAAGGCCCACCAAGGCUACGAUCAGUAGCUGGUCUGAGAGGAUGANCAGCCACACUGGGACUGAGACACGGCCCAGACUCCUACGGGAGGCAGCAGUAGGGAAUCUUGCGCAAGUGGGCGAAAGCCUGACGCAGCCAUGCCGC